UACGUAGGGGGCUAGCGUUGCUCGGAAUCACUGGGCGUAAAGCGCACGUAGGCGGACUCUUAAGUCGGUGGUGAAAUCCUGGAGCUCAACUCCAGAACUGCCUUCGAUACUGAGAGUCUCGAGCCCGGGAGAGGUGAGUGGAACUGCGAGUGUAGAGGUGAAAUUCGUAGAUAUUCGCAAGAACACCAGUGGCGAAGGCGGCUCACUGGCCCGGUACUGACGCUGAGGUGCGAAAGCGUGGGGAGCAAACAGG
rnacentral:rRNA from 1 species